UCAUGCAUUCAAGGCCAUAGCAAAAGUGCUCACAGCAUGGCCUGUCAGAUUCCAGUGAAUCUGCAAAUUCUGCU
rnacentral:ribozyme from 1 species